rnacentral:lncRNA from 1 species
UGGGCAGUUAAGCCACAAGUAAACAUUACAGCUUUACCAAAAGGAUAGGCGUGAAGUAGCCAUUGGUUUCACAGGAAGGGAGGAAAUUACCCUUUUCCUGAUUGCUGGGUAGUUAAACUCUCUUUCCAGAGGGGAUAUUAAUCGAUGAGGUGCUAAUUCAAACAGUGAGGACAAAGGAACAGUGAAUAAUUUAAAAAACAGAACUGUAAACAGCUGAAUCCUCAAAAAACUUUAUUAGAAGGAAGGCAGUAGCCAAGUGAAGCAGCUGGAAUCACACUGAAGUCGCUCUGAACUUUGCAGAUCGCUUCACUCUUCCCUCUGCUGCAGAGAUCGCAUCCCCGAUUUACAGUGCACUUCCUUCCAAAGAGCUAAACAGGGUU